ACCUCUGUAGCUCAACGGAUAGAGCCCGAGAUUGACUAACUCGGUGAUAUGGGUUCGAAUCCCAUCAGAGGUU
rnacentral:tRNA from 1 species